AUGGAACAUUCAAGAGCCUAGAAGAAGUUCACUGUAACUGGAAAGUAGAUUCUGAGCAGUAGGAGGCUGGGGACCAUGGGGGUAGAGUUGGGAGCUGGAUCAGCAAGAGAAGGCUGAAGAGAUAAAACAAAGUCUGCAGAGGGACAGAAUGGACUCAUUUGAAUUGUGAAAAUGUCAUUGAUUGAUAUGGUACAUUAAAUGAUCCAUUUUCAAAGGACUGAAGAGAUGUUUCUUCAUGUUUCCAUGUACAUGAAAUAUUAAAAUAAGACAAGUCUUCAAGGUAAUGCUGAGCAGGGAAUUAUUAUGCAUCUUUUAUACUUGAAUUAAUAAACAUAUAUGUUUAAAUGCAUAUG
rnacentral:lncRNA from 1 species